rnacentral:rRNA from 1 species
CACAAACGCUGGCGGCAGGCUUAACACAUGCAAGUCGAACGCCCCGCAAGGGGAGUGGCAGACGGGUGAGUAACGCGUGGGAAUCUACCCAGAUCUACGGAACAAAAGCUGGAAACGACUGCUAAUACCGUAUACGCCCUCCGAGGGAAAGAUUUAGCGGAUUUGGAUGAGACCGCGUUGGAUUAGCUAGUUGGUGGGGUAAUGGCCUACCAAGGCGACGAUCCAUAGCUGGUCUGAGAGGAUGAUCAGCCACACUGGGACUGAGACACGGCCCAGACUCCUACGGGAGGCAGCAGUGGGGAAUAUUGGACAAUGGGCGCAAGCCUGAUCCAGCCAUGCCGCGUGAGUGAUGAAGGCCUUAGGGUUGUAAAGCUCUUUCACCGAUGAAGAUAAUGACGGUAGUCGGAGAAGAAGCCCCGGCUAACUUCGUGCCAGCCGCCGCCGUAACAC